GCGGACGUGGCGAAAUUGGUAGACGCAGCAGACUUAAAAUCUGCCGACCUCAGGUCUUACGGGUUCGACCCCCGUCGUCCGCA
rnacentral:tRNA from 1 species